rnacentral:rRNA from 2 species
AGAGUUUGAUCAUGGCUCAGGGUGAACGCUGGCGGCGUGCCUAACACAUGCAAGUCGAGCGGGUACCCGCAAGGGUACCAGCGGCGCACGGGUGAGUAACACGUGGGUAAUCUACCCCUCGGAGGGGGAUAACCGGGGGAAACUCCGGCUAAUACCCCAUACGAUCCAACAACACAAGUUGUUGGAUGAAAGGAGCGUUUGCUCCGCCGAGGGAUGAGCCCGCGGCCCAUCAGGUAGUUGGUGGGGUAAUGGCCCACCAAGCCUACGACGGGUAGCCGGCCUGAGAGGGUGGUCGGCCACAAGGGCACUGAGACACGGGCCCUACUCCUACGGGAGGCAGCAGUGGGGAAUCUUGGACAAUGGGCGAAAGCCUGAUCCAGCGACGCCGCGUGGGGGAUGAAGCCCUUCGGGGUGUAAACCCCUGUUGCGAGGGAGGAAUAAGGCCUGGAGGAAAUGCCAGGCCGAUGACUGUACCUCGCGAGGAAGCCCCGGCUAACUACGUGCCAGCAGCCGCGGUAAUACGUAGGGGGCGAGCGUUACCCGGAUUCACUGGGCGUAAAGCGGGUGUAGGCGGCUCGGUAAGUCGGGUGUGAAAUCCCACAGCUCAACUGUGGAAUUGCGCCCGAAACUGCUGAGCUUGGGGCCGGUAGAGGGAGACGGAACUGCCGGUGUAGGGGUGAAAUCCGUAGAUAUCGGCAGGAACGCCGGUGGGGAAGCCGGUCUCCUGGGCCGCGCCCGACGCUGAGACCCGAAAGCUAGGGGAGCAAACCGGAUUAGAUACCCGGGUAGUCCUAGCCGUAAACGAUGCCCACUAGGUGUGGGGGAUUAAUUCCUCCGUGCUGUAGCUAACGCGUUAAGUGGGCCGCCUGGGGAGUACGCCCGCAAGGGUGAAACUCAAAUGAAUUGACGG